GACAUGAAAUGAAAAUGUUUUUUUUCCUCCUCAUUGCCCUAGGUAGAGACAAUGAGGAUGCAAUAUAAUUAUUAAUAGAACCUCACAUUUCACAUCGUACACUUAAACCAUAGAUCAUAGACCUUAAUUGCUACAUGGAUUUCAAUGUUAAUUCUGACUUUCAGUUAAACUUGCUGUGGAAAAAGAGGGGAACAGAGAUAAUUGUUGCAACCCUGCCAUCCCAAGUGAAGGGUCGGAGCCUCUUCAUCCACCACACUGAUCUACGGUGUCUACGACCCCACCUGUGGUUGACAGGAGAGGUAGGCGUAUUAAAAGCUCUUCCUCUCACUGCUAGUCUAUCUGUCUUUCAAUUUGUAGUCCUUCAAACUGAUGUAUUUGGAGGACUGAAGACCUCCAUUAACUCACACACACACACACACACACACACACACACACACACACACACACACACACACACACACACACACACACACACACACACACACACACACACACACACACGUAAUAAUGUCAAUGUGAAAAAGCAUUAACAUGCAAGCAUUAAUAUAUCCUAUAAAGGGGGCUAACGUUCUGGAGCUAAGGAACAAGCUAGUACAGAACAAUAGGCAGAGCAAGAAGUUUAGCCACGAGCUUGUUGUCUGCGUUUGUCCACAGUUGGAAUAAAGACAUCAGUUGAAGUACAUUAAAACUGUGGUGAUACCUUGGCACUUAAGGAUAUCACAACACGCACACACACACACACAGACAGGCAGGCAGAUAGACAGACAUACUAUCCCUCUUUGUUAUUACCUGUCUUUCUUUCUGUUGUACAUGGAAAACCACUGAGAUGAAGCCACCCCCCUCUGAGUGAGUGGUGAUCUCAUGAUAAGCCAACAGUAGGCCAUAACUUCGUUAUUAAUUUCAAUGGCCAAAGAAACUAGUUUGUGUUCAUAUGGUGAUGCUGUGUGCUGAUGCUAAUCAAACAUUAUUUUGUGUUUAUCAGAUAAUUCAGGGAUUGCUGCAUCUCAGUGCCUUCACGUACAACGUGGUGGACACCAUUUACCUAAUGGAUUAUUACACCGCAGGUGUACUUUUAUUUGGUGACAGAGCUACUACACGUCGCCACACUUUACCUAAGGUAAACUUCGAUAACUUUGACGGAAUCCUGUCAUUUGUCCACGUGAACAAAAAUCACUGGAACAUGCUGUACAUUCAUGCAAAGUCUGGUACUGUGUACCAAAUGGAUCCCUCACCAGCAUCCUCUGAGCUUGAGGACUCUACCCAUGCGGCUCAGAGACUACAGGAAUACUUGAAGAUUAGAAAACAUCAGGGGAAAACUGACUGGGUGGAUGUGAAGUGGAAAGGAGGAGUGAUGCCCCACCCAGUGCAAAUGGAUGGUUGCAGCUGUGGUGUCAUUGUUGUUGAAGUAAGUUGAUAUAUGUAGCAUAGAGGAAACAUGAUGUUUCUUUAAUUUUUGUGAUGAUGGAGAUAAGCUUACAUUUGGGUGUUUCCACAGAUAUACAAGAUGAUUUCAAAGGAUAAGUUCACUAUUGUGUACUUUGAGCCCCCUUUCUCGGUUGGCUAGGAUGAAAUAGAAUGGUUGACACUGAAAUGUUGACGUUUGGUCCUGUCUCUGGGUAUUUGGCUCAUUUAGAAUCGCCCCUGCCUGCUUCAGAAUGGCUGCCUAUGGGCAUUUACGAACCAUGAAUGCCCAUAGGCAACCAUUUAGAAGCUGGCAGCAGUGAUUCUAAAACCUCCCCACCAAGCAUGUGUUGACAAAUGGUUUAGUUUUCUAUUAAAAGAGAAAGACAAUCACUUUAAUGUUGUUAAUUCAGAUGGCCAGAGCAGUGAUGGAAGCCUUCCCUGAGUUCCCCAAAAUGAACUUCUCAACAAAAAGGAGAGCCAUGGAAGAGGCGAGGAGAGAUAUGGCUCUCCAAGUCCUUGAAUCAUCAGGUAUACAAUGCAGUAUACAUCUUUUUUUGAAUAACUUAAAGGCAUUCCAAAUAUAUUCUGAUUAAGGGCCCAAUUUUGAGAAUGAUAUGGUAACAGAAUUGGUGAAUGUGAUUGGCGAAUGCAAUUUCCCUUAGCCACAGGCCUUGCCCAUAUCAGAGUCUCCACCGAUUACCUCUUGCGGGUUUAAAAAAAGGCACAUACCAUUUGCCGAUAAAAUCCCCAAAAUUGGGCCCUAAAUAUGUCAUGCAAAUACACUUUAUUUCAGUCUUUGAUGAGGAGACUUGUUCGAUGUGUGGAGCUGACAAGCCCCCUGGACAAGCACCUCCCGUUACAGACUGGGUGAGUUGUUGUGAGCAGCACAUACAUUUUGUAACGUAAUGUGACAUACAGUGUUGGUAGUAACUAGUAACAAAGUUAAUUAACAAAGAUAAUUCAAUUUUGAUAGCAAUAUGUAAAAAGGCCAAGAAAGUUGAAGGGGUUCAAUGUUCACAGAAAACUUUCUUUGAUUCAAACUUAACCUUUGCUAUAAUCUGCUGGUUUGGUGACCUGAGUCUAACAAACAAAAACAGGGUUUGUUCUACUCGGUCUAUCCUCAGAACAACGAGAGGCAAUGUUGAUAUUAUGACCAAAAGGGGGCGUGCCUCCGUGAAAUGCCGCAAGACAGCUGGGAGAUGUAGCCUAGGCCUACACCUUACGACUCGUACGGCCAGUUCCAUACAACUGGAUCGCGGCAUAACUGUCCUUCUCUUCCUUUCUUCAAAGCUCAUCUCAAGACCUUUCUGUUUAACUUCUCUCCCACUCCAAACACAUAGCUCUAUCCUCUAGACUAGAGGCUCCCUUUGUUUAGUUUAGUUUUUCUCUUUUUUUGUAUUGUUGUUUGUUUGUGGUUGUAUUUUCAUUUCCACUAUGUGAAGUGACCUUGGGUUUGAGAAGGGAGCUAUAUAAAUGGAAAUUAUUAUUAUCACUAUUAUUAUUAUUUACCUGUUUUGAAACCAAAUUGCCCCGUAAGGACAUUUCAGCUCAAUUAAAUUCACCUGGAGGGUCAGGUAACGCAAAAGUAACAAGUGACAUAAGGCAUUACUCCACACAAGUAACGUAAUGAAGUAACUUCCCCAAUGCUGGUGACAUACCACUUAAGCCUAAGUGUCCUACCAAGUGACAAAGUCAUGUACAUGAAUGAAUCAUUAAUUGUUUUUUCAAUUCAACAGAUCCAGUGUGAUAAUUGUGACCGGUGGUUCCAUAACCUUUGCUUGAACAUGGACCAAAAUAAGUUAAAGGAACUCAAGAAAAGGCAAUGGCUGUGUGUUUUAUGCCGAUGACAAGGUUGAGGAAAAUUGUGCCUCGUCCAAGUGCCAGGUUUUGUUUAGAAAUGUGAUUAAAAAAAACGUAAAAGGCGUGUUAACAUCAGAAGAUGUGGAAAGCAUGAAUGGGGAGGGGAGACACACACACACACACACACACACACACACACACACACACACACACACACACACACACACACACACACACACACACACACACACACACACACAUUUCCAUUUCAUCUAUUCUCUCUGGUUACAGCCAUAUACACUUUGAUAUUGGAUCCCUUCCACUUACUUUAACCCUAGGCUAUACCGUAAGGACUGAAGAUCAAUGCCUGAUUACCAAAAGAUUCUGUUGAGUCAGUGUAUAAAACACAACAGCUGCGUUGAUUGAGAAACGCUUUACACCAAUACUGUGCAUAGUCUGAUUCAUUGCCAUGGAUUGCAAGAAGGAAAUAUUACAGAAAGGUCUGAAGUUAAAAUAUAAUUUGCAAGUUCACAUAAUGAAGUGGGAAAACAAAUGAAGGUGUGUUUGAUUAGUAUAUCAUGAAUGGAAUUCUUAAAAUAUUUAAAGAAAAUUGGAGGUGCAAAAUAUUAAUUUUUAAGGAGGUGUGUGUUGUUAUUACCAUAUUGUAGGACAGGUCCACAUUGGUCUGGGGCCUCUGGGUCCCAUAACUCGGAAGCUAUUGAGCAAAAAGCAAUUUCCCAUAGGAAACUAAUGGGAUUCUUAAAAUAUUCAAAUAAAAUUGGAGGUGCAAAAUAUUAAUUUUUAGUGAGGUGUGUGUUGUUAUUACCAUAUUGUAGGACAGGUCCACAUUGGUCUGGGGCCUCUGGGUCCCAUAACUCGGAAGCUAUUGAGCAAAAAGCCGUUUUCCAUAGGAAAUGAAUGGGAUUCUUAAAAUAUUUAAAUAAAAUAGGAGGAGCAAAAUAUUAAUUUUUAGUGAGGUGUGUGUUGUUAGUACCACAUAGUAGGACAGGUCAACAUUGGUCUGGGGCCACUGGCUCCUAUAACUCGGAAGCUAUUGAGCAAAAAGCCGUUUUCCAUAGGAAAUGAAUGGGAUUUUUAAAAAAUUCAAAUAAAAUUGGAGGUGCAAAAUAUUAAUUUUUAGUGAGGUGUGUGUUGUAAGUACCACAUAGUAGGACA
ensembl:lncRNA